UUUCAACUUACAUGGAUUAUUAUUCAUGUAGUUUUUAAAACUAUCAUAACUAAUUAAUUAGUUUUGCAAAAUUAGGCUUAAUUAUGUUGCUAGGGUCGAUUAUAAUUCUUGUUUUAAUUACCGAUGUGAUCUUAAUUAUAAGUUUCUUUAUCUUGUUUUGUAAGUCUAUCCAUAACUUAGCUUCCAUCUUUAACGACUUUAUAUCCAUAAAUUGUUUUUUUUUUCCAAUAACAUCAAAAUUAAAAUGAUAUUUAAAAAUUGUUUCUUAAUAUUUGAAGUGUACACAACCUAUUUUAUAAUUAAAUAUGCGUUCAUGUAUCAUUCUUUUUAUGUAUAAUUUGAGAAUCAUAUAUCAAUUGAACAACAACUCAUUGUGACUUACU
rnacentral:lncRNA from 1 species